GCAAGAGACUUACAAAAUCCUGCCUCGCUCUUUGUCUAACGCGUCAACGGUCAACCGCCGUUCAAAUCAAAGUUAUUGGACGCUGGACGCCGCCAGUAAGGGACAACACGGACGUCCCGCGGACUCGGACGGAUGGCCUGGAUCCAGCGGUUAACAAGCUUCAAGAGCCUUCCGGUGACAUUUUACACGACGAAAAAAGAUGCAAUCGUUAAAGUUCUGCAGUUUGGGCUUCCAGAUAGGCAGUGCUGGCAUCGUAUGAUAUAAAAUUUUGUAGCUGUAAUAUAAUAUGUGAUAUGAUUGAUAACUAAUAAAUAAUGCAUAUUUUUAAAAUUUAAA